AGGAACCAAUAUUUAGUAGGUAUGAAUAAAUAUAUAAAUAUAAUAUAAUAUAAAUAUACAUAAAAAUAAAUUUAGAUUUACCUUAUCNUACUUAUGAAAUGUUGAAAAUUUUCAUAAAUAAUGAAAAAUGUAUCAAAUUCAAACUUAAGUUCAAUUCGGUAAAGGUGAAAUUCAUCCGAUUCACCUAAAAAAUUUUGUAGCUAAUUUUUGUACACAUACACACCCAUAUAGAAGGUGCACAAAACAUAUAUUUUUUUUUUUCAUCACCAGAGUUAUAUUCAAGACAUAAUCAGACUAGUAAACAGAAUAGUGAUUUUAAGGUAAUAAUAUUUGUAAAAUUUCAGCAGUAACAUAUUAUAAAACCUAACUAUUUUGAUGCUUUAUUUAUUAUUUUAGAGAUGAUUCCUAGAUCUGUUAAUCUUAAUAAAUCUAAUAAAUUAUGUAUUUUAUUUAUUUUACUGGCAGUUCCAUACCGAACGCUUGUGUAAUCUUCUUUCAUUUUCUUCAAACUCUAGUUUGUAAUACUUUUGUCUUUUCCUAGAAUGGUUUAAUUUAUUAAAUAAAAGUAUGCAUUAAUUGGUAAGUUAGAACAAUUAUUAAAUUACUGGGUCUGUGCAAGAAUUUAUUCCUGAAAGUUUUAUAAUAGAAUCCAUUUCUUGUGCCUUUUCUGAUUCAAAUAAGCGCAGACAUUUACUGAUAAUUAGUUUCUUAAAUAUUGUCUUAUUCCUAUCUUUUCCAGAACUUACUUGCACAGAUUUCAUAGCCGAGCAAAGAGCCACAUAAUGAGGUGAAAACAUUGUUCUUUAAUUGCCUAUAAUGUAAGAUAAAAAAUCAACAAAAUAAACAACAAGUUAAUGAGUAAUAAUUUAGAGAUAUUUUAUUCAUUGCUUAUAAAUCACCUUUUCAAAAAUUAAAUCAACUAUUUUCUUUAGUAGUUCAACAAUAUCAAUUGGUUAAUGCACUAAAAUGUUCAGCUAAAGUAAUAAUGUUAUCACUUGUAAUUUUAUUUAAAAUUGAUGCGACAUUUGUACAGAAUUCCUGAAAUUAAUAUAACAAAAACUGACAUUAAUAGCAUAUAUAAUUUAUAAUAGGGUAUGUAUAGGUUAUGAUAUUAGAUAAAUACCAAUUACUUGUAUAGUUAAGUAGUUUAACACAUGAAUAAUAAAACCUGUACAUUUUUCAAUACCUUUAAAAUUUUAUAUGAUUAUUUUAAUUUUAUUCAACAAGUCAAAACCCUACAUAAUGCUAUAUAGAAUUUAAUUUUAAUAAUCUGAUUAUUAGCACACAGAAGUUAAUAAAACUAAGGUGUGAUACAAAUAGAUAAUGAAUAAACUAAACCAAUAAAUCAUUUAUAUUUCUUCAUUAGUUUUUAAUUCCUCUGAUAUUUUAUUUUUAUGCACAUAAACUUAGGUAGUUUUUUUGCUACUUUUGGUACUUUUGAUCUGAUGAUUUUGUAAUAUCAGCUUUUCAAUUCCUUGAGUUCCUUUUAACAAAUAAGAUCAUUUCUGAGUUGAGUAAAAUAAAUUCUCUCAUCAGUUUGAUUUAUAACACUCGAUUGGCUUAGAAGUAAAACAUUUUAUAUGAAUACCUUAAUUAUGAUUAAAUUAAUAUGGUUAAUCAGAAAAUUUAAAUUAUAACAAUUAAAAGAUAAAAAUAGAAAGAUAAGAUAAUGGAAACGGGUACAGCCACUAGUGUAGAUGGAAAGUUGGGAAGGUAAGAUACAAACAGGAAUUUAAUGUAUAUCUAUAAGCAACAAUUCACUUUAUUACACCACGUUUUAUUGCUUCCAAAAAAAACGAUUCUGAGCGGAGUUAAGUUAAUAGUAAUGCAUUGUCAACAAUAUAUAUGUCAUUUUAUAGUAAAAUAAUUAAAUAGGCUUUAUAUAUUUUCUUAAGUAAAAUGUAUUAAAUGUUGUACCAAUUUUCCCAGUUUUCUUAUGAUUUUCCUAUUUUAAAUUUGUUUAAACUAUUUUAACAUUAACUCCAACAAUAUCAAUUUUUAUUAUUUUAUAUUACAGAAUAUUGUAAUAAUAUUUUAGUUAUAUACUUAACAAGUAACAUUAUUAUUUAUAAAAUCAUUGUAAACUAAAUUAAAAUUAUAAAAUAGAGUAAUUUUAUAACUCAUUUUCUCUGCCACAAACUACGAUUAAUGUACUAAUCAUUUAAUACAUUUGUGAGUUUACAUUUUACAUAGUUUUUGGGUUUUCUUAAUUAUUAUGAAAACUGAUUGGAAAAUUAAAAAAUGCACCAACAAAAUACGAAAUUCAAAAAAAGGAUCUUGUCAUUUUUCAAUUGGAGCAAGAUUUCUGGUCAAAAAGUAAUACACCAUAAUAAAACCGAUAGAUUCCUCGCUACGCUUCAAAUCCGAAACAACAAAUAUUAUAAUCUCAAUGAAUUCUUGAACAGAUUGACUAGCGUAUGUCAGCUGUCGGGUCCAAAUAUUUAAAUAUUUAAGUGUACUUCAAUAAAAUACAUACCAUCUCGAGUAAAAUGUGUGGGUAUAAAAAAAAGAAUUCAUAUUUCAUUUGUACCUUUUUUUUUUUUUUUGGACUCUCCAUCAUACACGUUAAUAUUCAAUUUCAAAAUUUAUUUUAUUAAAAUAAUUAUAUUUUGAUGGUGAGCUUGAAAACAGGAUAGAUAGCAAAGCUAAGCAAGUUUCUCAAAUACGCUAACUCAUUAAACUAACGUUCUCUUCUUCUCCUUCACCUUCAUCUCAAAUAUUUAUUAAACAGUUAGUUAUUUAUUAUAAAUAAAAAUAUAAAAGCAAUUUAAAAAUGUAUUUACAUUUUAUUUUGAUAAUUUUAUAAGGUUACUUCCCUACUGAAAAUUAGAAAAUAACUACAUACUUUUAGAUUCUGAGCAGAGUGAAGACCAUAUUGGUUUUAUACAUGUAUAUUUUCUUUUAAAUUUUUUUUUUUCUGCGACUAUCAGCAACUAUUAGAAAUCUUGUUCCAAUCAAAAAAUUAAAAGAAAUUUCUUUUUGUUUUAUUUUGAUCCAAAAUUAGUUAAAUGUAGUUAGUACAUAGAGGAGGUAUUUUUUAAUUUUCUAAACAGUUUUCAUUACAAUUGGGAAAAAAUGUAGAAAAUAUGGGAAAAGCUUACAGCAUUAUUGGUUUUGAUAUUUUCAAAUUNCUAUCUUAGGGGGUGCAUUCAUAAAAGUUCAACCAUGAUCCAUUUAAGAGCUGCCAUAAUAUACAUUAAAACCACCUUCUUAUAACGGACACUCUAUAAGGUAGAAAAACCAUGAUUUAUAACAAUUGUUUUAUAAAAAAGUAGUUAUUAUCACCUGUUGUACUUUGAAGAUUCAGUUGAAAGAGUAGUAACCCCAGAUGAUGCAGUUAAUAUAUCAUGUUGAAUCGAUAGAUUUCUAUUACAAAGAUAUAAUAUAGGAGCAUAAUAAUUAUAAAUUAUUACUUCUUUUUCUACUUCGCCUUUAUUCCAACUAUUUAGGGUCUGUCACCAUUGUCCAAUAUUUCCACUUGACUCGAUCCCACAUGUCAUCCUUGCAUACACAUGCCAUUCACACAUCAUUCCAACUACAUCGUUUUUGGUCUUUCUCUCCUCUCCUUUCCAUCAACUUUUAUUUUCAUCAUAAUUCUUACAGCUUCCGUUUCCUCUCUUCUCAUGACAUACCAAGACUAUUUGAGUUUAUUUUCUCUCAUUUUGUCUACUAUAGAAGCCACACCUAAGCUACCUCUUAUGUACUUAUUCCUUAAUCUAUCUUCUUUCGUCACUCCAUUUAUCAAUUUAUGCAUUCUUAUUUCUGCUACACUAAUUUUCUGUUCUAUUUUCCCAUCUACUACCCAACACUCUAAACCAUACAACAUAGCUGGUAUUACCACACUCUUGUAUAACUUACCUUUAAAUCUCAUUGAAAUCAUACUUAAUUCUAUGUUUCACAUCUUCAUCAAAGCCACCAUUCUUUUUUAAAAAAAGAUCUUAAUACUUAAAACUCUUAAUCUUACCUAUCACUACUUAUUGUCAUUAGCUGUCUUGUCCUGUUCCUUCAAAAUCAAACUAUAUAAACUCUGUUUUACAUAAAUUUAUCCUUAAUCCCUUUCCUUUAAGUGUUACUCUCCAUUCCUAAAGUUUAUUAUUAACUUCUUCCAAAUUUUCUCUUAUCAAAACUAUAAAAUCUGUAAAUAUUAUGCACCAUGAUACCUCACAUCGCCUUGUAUUUCCUUUAUAACUUCGUCCAUUACAACAGAAAUAAUAAAUUAUAAAUUGUUAUAAAAAUAAAAUAGGUAAUACAUUUCUUUAAUUAUUACCUGUACUUCACUGAAUCAGGAAUGUUCGGUUUUGUCCUUAGAAUAUUCUGUUCUUCUACUCCAGCGUGUAUCAUCUUAAAAGGAGUCUUUUGUUGAUACUAAAAAGUUGAUACUUUCCGAGAUAAUGAAUGCACCGACUUAAACAGAACACCCUGACUUAAUGACUUAGGGUCAUUUACUAACAAUAAGAAAAAAAAAUUAAAAUUGUACAAAUUCAAAUAUUAAAUAUAACCGAAGAUCUUAAUGAACGCGAUUACGACGGUUUUUUAAUUUUGAUAUCAUCCGCUUAGAGAAGUGCAGCGUGAUUUUGGAUACGGGGCCUUUUCUGCGUAUGACAUUCAUUAGUUUGUUUUUGGUUACCGUCACCAAUAGUUCCACGGUUUCGGUGUCCAUGAACGGAGUAGGAGUUGUGAUCGCGUACAAUGCUUCGGUGUUAUGAAAUCCGACAUUCCGGGCCGUCAUUACUUUUUCCGACCGAGAACGUUGCAUUCGCGACUGAGAGACUCUCUUCGGUCUGUUUUUUCGUUUAAUCGUGCGUCUGGCAACGUUCAUGAAUGACGUCUGUUGUUGGUUUCUUUCACUGAUGUCGUGCCGUUCCGCUCGUGGCGAGAGAGACCUCUCCGAGUCAGCAUCCUCAGUAUUCAAUGUAUUUCUAUUAGGGAUUUCCAUGAUGUGCGCAGUUUCGUUUAAUUAAACUUGAUUUGCGAUUAAUUAAAAAGUACGGAAGUUCGUAUACUUAGAAAAAAUUUUCGAAAUUAUGUAGACGUCUGCACACACCGGGAUCUAAACGCACAAUGACUAAUAGUCAAUACACACAAGAACGGCUCGAAUAGAUAUUGUUUAUUUUUCAUCUGUUUUAAAUACCACGGUGAUACAACAAACCGUGUCGUACCGUAGUGAACCGCGCUUUCCUUAUUUUAAUAUUGUGCCACUUAUAAAUUAUGAAAUUAUUACCAUAGAUCGAUCGAUAAUACACGCGCAUUUCGCAUUACCACCGACUCAAGCAGCCCUCCCGUAGCCGUAACCCGAAANUACGAAAAUAUUAUAUAUUAGGAGACAGACAAUUGAGACAAUUUUAAUUUGGUCGCAUGAGUGUUAUUGCUAUAAUUUUUUGAUACAUAAAAUUAUAAUUAUUAUACAAUACUCACUAGUGUUUGAUCAUUUACGUAUUGAAUUCUUGUUUCUUUUCAUCUUCGACUUUUAGAAAAAGGUAGCAGAUCCUAAACAGGUAUCCUUGAUAUUAUGUGACACACUUAGAAAAAAAAUAUUAGCAAAUCACUAUUUACUUAAAACUAAUUUUGAUUGGCAUGAACUAUUGUUCAUCAUGGUGUUCUCGGUUAUAUAAAUUACCAAUAAACUAGUGAGCAGUGUGAACUAUUGCUUAUUGGUUUGGCCGGUGUAAACCAACAAUUUUUUAUGAACCCACAUUACACAUAGCCCCUAACACCGUAUAAAAUUUGUCCGUAGGUACGACGAAAAGUGGGAUGCUAGACGGGUUCUUUGAAGUGACCAGACCACGGGUGUAGUAGGUACAACGUCACGACGGGAAAUGGAAAACUCCUACAAAAGUUAGCAAUCUUCUACAUUUACAUAGUGUUAACUUCUACAAAAAAUAGAUUUUUUUAAUUUAGUAAAAUUAGUAAAUAGUCGGGAAUAAUAAAUUUAUUCAAUUUGUUCUGCAAUUAUUGGUAUGGAUGCUAUAAGCCUUUUAUUUCUGAGUGGCGGAAAAAAGAGGAAAAUAUUGUUAUAUUUGCAUAUAUUCCAUGUACGUAUCGNCACGACGGGAAAUGGAAAACUCCUACAAAAGUUAGCAAUCUUCUACAUUUACAUAGUGUUAACUUCUACAAAAGAUAGAUUUUUUUAAUUUAGUAAAAUUAGUAAAUAGUCAGGAAUAAUAAAUUUAUUCAAGUUCUGCAAUUAUUGGUAUGGAUGCUAUAAGCCUUUUAUUUCUGAGUGGCGGAAAAAAGAGGAAGAUAUUGUUAUAUUUCCAUAUAUUCCAUGUACGUAUCGAAAUGUUCGAGAAUUUCCGAUACGAUGCGAUACGAUAAGAUUAUAUUAAUAUGUUUACUAAAUUGUACUUUUGUUAUUAUUUUAAAUGAUGAUUUUAAUAUAUUAUCUUUAAAAUAAUGAAAACAUAUAAUAUAUACAAACUAAAAGGACCUACCGUAGUAGGUAUGUAAGAAAUGUUGCAAUAUGAAAUAAGCCAUUACCUAACCCAAACAUAAAAAUAUAGAAAGGUCUGGGUAGGAGAUUACACCAUCUAUUUUGGGCAGGUUAAAAGGGACUAUGUAGGAGUUUACACUAUGUUUUAAGUUCAGAUAAAAAUAUAAUUUUUGUACGAAUUUACAUGUAUUAUAUACAAAUUAAGCGUACAACGGGUUUGCAAGCAACGCACUUUAAUGCGGCUGUGUAGUUACACAACCGAUUUUGAUAAGAUUAUGCUCAUGUGUGUGAUUUGGUCCAACUUAAAUAUAGGAUAGUUUUCAUCCCGAUUAAGUAACCCAUUGUUUCUUAAAAUACGGUUUUAAAGUAUUUUUAGUACAAAAAUCGAAUUAUUUUUGUUAAUUUAUGAUACGUUUUCUUGGUAACAAAGAUGAAGAAAAUAAACUGUAAUAAUAUGUAUAUAAAGACGGACAUACUUUUCCCGUAGGUGAGAAGUUGGGAAGGUACAGGGGAAAUUUAUUAUGUAUCUUGUACCCAAAUAUUGACCAUUACUAAAGUACUCAAAUAGUACAGUAAAAAAUACUAUUUCAUUAAAUUUAGGGGCUUCAAUAUAUUUUCAUAUCUUAUUUAUUUAUAAAAAUCAGACACGCAGAAACGCAUGACCAGUACAGUUAGUAGUAUAUAUAGUUAAUACUUAAUAAGUAUAUCAAAUAAAUUGACGCAGUUUAUAUAAUCUUAAAUUUUCUUUUGCCACAGUUUACAUAUCGACUUUAAAAAAAAGAAAUAUUUUACCGCAGUUUACACAUAGCCUAACCACGUAUAAACUGUCCCCAUUUAUCCGCAGUCUUUACAUUUUGUCCACCAUUAUUUUAUAUAUUCAUUUUACUCGAAUCAGAAUAAAAUGAAUUACUAAAAUACCAAUAAUUAAAUAGCCAUAUUUAUUAAUAGUAGUUAACCACUAUAAACAUUUGAAAUCGAAAUGAAUCAACAAGAAUCAAAUAACUCGUUACUACUUAUAACAACGUCAAUAGUGUAUAUUAAAAAUACAAAAACAUAAUAUAAUUAUAAUUUGUAAUAUAACACAGAUUAAUGGAUUCAAAAUUGAUGAAUAUUCUCAAUAUUAAUAACGAUGAGACACCGAUCGCCGAUGAGAUUAAGGUUCAAAAACAACGGGAAAAAAAGAAAAAUUCAACGCGCCCCACGUGUUCUUCACGUAUAUAUUAUAUUUAAAAUAAAUUACUUUAUGUACCUUUCCAUUUACCACCUAUUUAUUAUUGUAUUUAAUAUGUUGGCUUAAAAAUAAAAUAUGAUAUUCAAAUACCAUGUGUUAUGUAUUAUAAAUAUUUGAUACUUAGUUCUAUACUUAUAUCAUAAAUACGGUACAAAAUGUUGUCCUACUCAUAACAUAAACUGAGGACCUAGCAGUGUUAAGUCACACAAACAUUUUUAUUUCGGUACGUGUUAGAUUAGAAUAUUUAAUAAUUUGGUUACCAUCCAACUAGAGCUGGCAGUAUUUUCAGUAUACCGGUGAAUCACUGGUAUUUUCAAAUAUUUUCAAAUACCAGUAUACUACUGUUUCAGUAACCACCAUUUGAUCUACUGCAGAAUAUUUUCAAUUAUUUUUUGUACUAUGGUAACCUGAUAACCACACACAUGGUUUAUAUAAUUUAUAGUAUUUACUAAUUUUACAGUAUUUACUGAAAAAUAAUGAUAAAUCAAAAAAUAAAACUGGUAUGUCAACACAAACCAAAUACCGGUGAACUAACAUACCACAAACUCUACAAACAACACAAAGCACACAUGUAGAAAAUUAUUCAUUAUUUAAAUAAUAAUGCUUGUUAUGAUUCACAUAACUGUUUAGUUGAGAGUCUAUCUUUUUAGUGUGGUUGCUGUUGAUCCAUACAGGUGCGCAAUACUCCGCAACUGAAUACACUAAUGCAAUUGAAGAUGUUUUUAGUGUAAAUGAAUCAGUACCCUAAUCUAUGCCUGCUAGUUUUUAGAUUAUAUUAUUUCUUGCGCAAAUCUUAGCCAUNAUAAUACUUAU